rnacentral:rRNA from 1 species
UACGUAGGGGGCAAGCGUUGUUCGGAAUUACUGGGCGUAAAGGGCGCGUAGGCGGCCGUGUAAGUCGGGAGUGAAAGCCCGGGGCUCAACCCCGGGAAUGGCUCUCGAAACUGCGGGGCUCGAGUGCGGAAGAGGCAACUGGAAUUCCCAGUGUAGCGGUGAAAUGCGUAGAUAUUGGGAAGAACACCUGAGGCGAAGGCGGGUUGCUGGGCCGACACUGACGCUGAGGCGCGAAAGCCAGGGGAGCAAACGGG